GACGAACGCUGGCGGCGUGCUUAACACAUGCAAGUCGAACGGAAAGGCCCUGCUUUUGUGGGGUGCUCGAGUGGCGAACGGGUGAGUAACACGUGAGUAACCUGCCCUUGACUUUGGGAUAACUUCAGGAAACUGGGGCUAAUACCGGAUAGGAGCUCCUGCUGCAUGGUGGGGGUUGGAAAGUUUCGGCGGUUGGGGAUGGACUCGCGGCUUAUCAACUUGUUGGUGGGGUAGUGGCUUACCAAGGCUUUGACGGGUAGCCGGCCUGAGAGGGUGACCGGCCACAUUGGGACUGAGAUACGGCCCAGACUCCUACGGGAGGCAGCAGUGGGGAAUAUUGCACAAUGGGCGGAAGCCUGAUGCAGCAACGCCGCGUGCGGGAUGACGGCCUUCGGGGUGUAAACCGCUUUCGCAUGUGACGAAGCGUGAGUGACGGUAAUGGGUAAAGAAGCACCGGCUAACUACGUG
rnacentral:rRNA from 1 species